rnacentral:rRNA from 1 species
GAUGAACGCUGGCGGCGUGCCUAAUACAUGCAAGUCGAGCGAACGGACGAGAAGCUUGCUUCUCUGAUGUUAGCGGCGGACGGGUGAGUAACACGUGGAUAACCUACCUAUAAGACUGGGAUAACUUCGGGAAACCGGAGCUAAUACCGGAUAAUAUUUUGAACCGCAUGGUUCAAAAGUGAAAGACGGUCUUGCUGUCACUUAUAGAUGGAUCCGCGCUGCAUUAGCUAGUUGGUAAGGUAACGGCUUACCAAGGCAACGAUGCAUAGCCGACCUGAGAGGGUGAUCGGCCACACUGGAACUGAGACACGGUCCAGACUCCUACGGGAGGCAGCAGUAGGGAAUCUUCCGCAAUGGGCGAAAGCCUGACGGAGCAACGCCGCGUGAGUGAUGAAGGUCUUCGGAUCGUAAAACUCUGUUAUUAGGGAAGAACAUAUGUGUAAGUAACUGUGCACAUCUUGACGGUACCUAAUCAGAAAGCCACGGCUAACUACGUGCCAGCAGCCGCGGUAAUACGUAGGUGGCAAGCGUUAUCCGGAAUUAUUGGGCGUAAAGCGCGCGUAGGCGGUUUUUUAAGUCUGAUGUGAAAGCCCACGGCUCAACCGUGGAGGGUCAUUGGAAACUGGAAAACUUGAGUGCAGACGAUGAAAGUGGAAUUCCAUGUGUAGCGGUGAAAUGCGUAGAGAUAUGGAGGAACACCAGUGGCGAAGGCGACUUUCUGGUCUGUAACUGACGCUGAUGUGCGAAAGCGUGGGGAUCAAACAGGAUUAGAUACCCUGGUAGUCCACGCCGUAAACGAUGAGUGCUAAGUGUUAGGGGGUUUCCGCCCCUUAGUGCUGCAGCUAACGCAUUAAGCACUCCGCCUGGGGAGUACGACCGCAAGGUUGAAACUCAAAGGAAUUGACGGGGACCCGCACAAGCGGUGGAGCAUGUGGUUUAAUUCGAAGCAACGCGAAGAACCUUACCAAAUCUUGACAUCCUUUGACAACUCUAGAGAUAGAGCUUUCCCCUUCGGGGGACAAAGUGACAGGUGGUGCAUGGUUGUCGUCAGCUCGUGUCGUGAGAUGUUGGGUUAAGUCCCGCAACGAGCGCAACCCUUAAGCUUAGUUGCCAUCAUUAAGUUGGGCACUCUAAGUUGACUGCCGGUGACAAACCGGAGGAAGGUGGGGAUGACGUCAAAUCAUCAUGCCCCUUAUGAUUUGGGCUACACACGUGCUACAAUGGACAAUACAAAGGGCAGCGAAACCGCGAGGUCAAGCAAAUCCCAUAAAGUUGUUCUCAGUUCGGAUUGUAGUCUGCAACUCGACUACAUGAAGCUGGAAUCGCUAGUAAUCGUAGAUCAGCAUGCUACGGUGAAUACGUUCCCGGGUCU